rnacentral:rRNA from 1 species
GACGAACGCUGGCGGCGUGCCUAAUACAUGCAAGUCGAGCGGAUGACGGAGGAGCUUGCUCCUCUAGAUUCAGCGGCGGACGGGUGAGUAACACGUGGGCAACCUGCCCUGUAGAUUGGGAUAACUCCGGGAAACCGGGGCUAAUACCGAAUAAUCCUUCGGACCUCAUGGUCCGAUGUUGAAAGACGGUUUCGGCUGUCACUACAGGAUGGGCACGCGGCGCAUUAGCUAGUUGGUGAGGUAACGGCACACCAAGGCCACGAUGCGUAGCCGAGCUGGGAGGUGGAGCGGCCACACUGGGACGGAGACACGGCCCAGACUCCUACGGGAGGCAGCAGUAGGGAAUCUUCCACAAUGGACGAAAGUCUGAUGGAGCAACGCCGCGUGAGUGAAGAAGGUUCUCGGAUCGUAAAACUCUGUUGUGAGGGAAGAACAAGUACCGGGGUAACUGCCGGUGCCUUGACGGUACCUCAUUAGAAAGCCACGGCUAACUACGUGCCAGCCGCCGCCGUAAGAC